rnacentral:rRNA from 1 species
UACGGAGGGUGCAAGCGUUAUCCGGAUUCACUGGGUUUAAAGGGUGCGUAGGAGGGCAGGUAAGUCAGUGGUGAAAUCUCCGAGCUUAACUUGGAAACUGCCGUUGAUACUAUCUGUCUUGAAUAUUGUGGAGGUGAGCGGAAUAUGUCAUGUAGCGGUGAAAUACUUAGAUAUGACAUAGAACACCAAUUGCGAAGGCAGCUCGCUACACAUAUAUUGACUCUGAGGCACGAAAGCGUGGGGAUCAAACAGG